UGCAGAGUGUCUGCAAAUGUGAGUUAGUUUUUUUUUUUUUUUUUUUACGUAAAAAUUAACUUACUCUCUCCCCGUUCAGAAAUCUCUCUCUCUCAAAAAUACUCUCUAAUAACUAAAAAAAAAUACAUAGGAGAUGUUCUCUACCAAAAGCCAAUUCCCUUCUUUUAAAAAGGUUCCCACGUAACUGUUCCUUGCUAAAAGAAUAGCAUGAAAGAUUCUUUUAGAGGUAUCUUGUUUAUGAAAGAAGAGUUCAGGUUUCAAAUCAAGACUUGGAGAAGUUUGAAGAAAGGUUUUUAAAGGGUCGUUCAUGUUAAAGUGGUUUCUAUGAAGAGGAUCGGAAACCAGAGGCAGAAUUGCAAAAGUUCGGCAGGCAGUAGCAGUUUUGUGUUGUAAUGUCGCAACGCUUGGCAAUCAGACGCAUCAGUGCCGCAGUGCUCAACAUUUUCAACCCCUACCCUGUUCCGAAACGUAGAGUUGCACUGCGAUUCAAAGGAGGCAGUGUCGCGACGCUGUCCUUUGGCAUCGCGACACUCUAACAGUUGAAGGCCACUUCUUGCGAGCAUCCAGGAUGCUGUUCAUGGGGAGUUUUUUUAAUUAAUGUAAUUUUUAUAUUUUAUUAAAUCAAUAAUAAUAUUGAUUACAUUAACUUAAUUUUAUUAAGGUGUCAAUAUUUUGUCAA